rnacentral:lncRNA from 1 species
GAGCCAUCCAUGUGUUUCUGUGUCAAGAAAUGCAGCGAUAACUUCUGCUCUGUCUGCUUACAGGAAUAGCUACUGCUUGAUGCCAGUCUGUAUUAUCUGCACUUCCCUCUGUCACUGAGAUGGGCUGGCUCAGCAGAACAACUUACAAGCUAUCUGCCACAAAAGCUUUAAGAAUGCAGAAUGGAUUUCUCUACGGUCAUGAUCCGAAGGGAAUUUUAUCAGGGAGUUUCUGGGUUUGUUAUGGAGCAAAAGGUAAACAAAGGCACCUACAAGCUGGGAAGAUGGGCUUAGAUUUAUCUGGGGCAGAUGGAUGCUGUCCUUACCAUGAACCCACGGCUCUUCUCUCCACCUGCAGAAUGUAUUUGUUCUUCUGUUGUACUGCACUUCUGCACUGAGAAUGAAGAGACUCAGUCCUGCUAAUAGACUGAGAAAAGAGAUUAAGC